CUGAAGCCUUGAAUUUGUGCUUUGGGCCUGCAAGGGUGAGAAAGGUUGUGGGAUCCCUUUGCUUCUUGGUGAGCGAUGCGCCUCUGUAGGAGCAGGGGAAGCUGAAUGUAUGAAGUACAAGUGUGCAAAGCUGCUUAAAAAUUCAUGAGUGAGAGGGCAGCUGGAGCAGAGUGCCUUGGGGUGAGAAUAUGACUACAGUUUGAGCUAGGACUGGAGUUGUGUGCAGUUCUGCUGAUGUGAUGCUCCAGCAGGACCCUCUCUGACUUGCGAAGCAUCUUCCCUGAGGCAGCCUGAAGUUGGAAGAGGUCUGAAGUUAUUAGCUACCUGAGAUCUUCAGUAAGACACAGCUUGUGGGGAAAGCCACGGAUUCAAAAGGAGGCCCGAAAUGGUCCAAAUCAUAGAAUGAUUAAGAUUGGAAAGACCAUUAAGGGACCUCCAGGUGAAUCCACCACCUUCCUGAGCAGACUGUGCCACUGCACUGCCACUCUUACUGAGAAGACAGUUUUCCUAAUGUCCAACCUGAACCUCCACUGGCACAACUUGAGGCCAUUACCGCUUGUCUUAUCAAAUGCCCACAUUCAGUGCAUUACGCACCUUGAUGCAGGUCCACUGCCAGGGGAAUUACCUCUGUGCACACUUGAUCACAGAGGAAAAUUGGAUUGAAGAUUUGUGAGCACGGCUGCAUGGACACAGUUAGGGUUAUUUUAAGCUUUUGUGGUAUAAACUGAGUAUCUGCAUUAUCUACUGUUUUUGUACAUCAGAGAUUCCUGCCCUUUGGUGUAUAUUGUAUCCACCGCAUCUUGCUUUGAGUUGGCAGUAAUCCAUUACUCAGAGGGAAAUGGUAUCACCCUAGGAAAAACAAACAAACAAAAAGACAAAAAACAAAUGCACAAAGGGAAGCCCUAUC
rnacentral:lncRNA from 1 species